rnacentral:rRNA from 1 species
AUUGAACGCUGGCGGCAGGCCUAACACAUGCAAGUCGAGCGGGGUUUUCGGACCUAGCGGCGGACGGGUGAGUAAUGCGUAGGAAGCUACCCGAUAGAGGGGGAUACCAGUUGGAAACGACUGUUAAUACCGCAUAAUGUCUACGGACCAAAGUGUGGGACCUUCGGGCCACAUGCUAUCGGAUGCGCCUACGUGGGAUUAGCUAGUUGGUGAGGUAAUGGCUCACCAAGGCGACGAUCCCUAGCUGGUUUGAGAGGAUGAUCAGCCACACUGGAACUGAGACACGGUCCAGACUCCUACGGGAGGCAGCAGUGGGGAAUAUUGGACAAUGGGCGCAAGCCUGAUCCAGCCAUGCCGCGUGUGCGAAGAAGGCCUUCGGGUUGUAAAGCACUUUCAGUAGGGAGGAAGGGUUAAGUGUUAAUAGUACUUAACUUUGACGUUACCUACAGAAGAAGCACCGGCUAACUCUGUGCCAGCAGCCGCCGUAACAC